rnacentral:rRNA from 1 species
GUAGGUGGCGAGCGUUGUCCGGAUUUACUGGGCGUAAAGCGCGCGCAGGCGGGCUGAUCAGUCCGGGGUGAAAUCUCACGGCUCAACUGUGAGGAGUCCCCGGAUACUGCCAGCCUUGAGGUACCUAGAGGAGAGUGGAAUUCCCGGUGUAGUGGUGGAAUGCGUAGAUAUCGGGAGGAACACCAGUGGCGAAAGCGGCUCUCUGGGGGUUACCUGACGCUGAGGCGCGAAAGCGUGGGGAGCGAACCGGGAUUAGAUACCCGGGUAGUCCACGCCGUAAACGAUGAGCACUAGCUGUCGGGGGGUUAUCGACCCCCCCCUCGGUAGCGUAGCUAACGCGUUAAGUGCUCCGCCUGGGGACUACGGCCGCAAGGCUA